rnacentral:rRNA from 1 species
UACGUAGGGCGCGAGCGUUGUCCGGAAUCAUUGGGCGUAAAGAGCUCGUAGGCGGCCGGUUGCGUCUGCUGUGAAAUCCCGGGGCUUAACCCCGGGCGUGCAGUGGAUACGGGCUGGCUGGAGGCAGGCAGGGGAGAAUGGAAUUCCCGGUGUAGCGGUGAAAUGCGCAGAUAUCGGGAAGAACACCCGUGGCGAAGGCGGCUCUCUGGGACGGUACUGACGCUGAGACGCGAAAGCGUGGGGAGCGAACAGG